rnacentral:rRNA from 1 species
AACGAACGCUGGCGGCAUGCCUAACACAUGCAAGUCGAACGAACCCUUCGGGGUUAGUGGCGCACGGGUGCGUAACGCGUGGGAAUCUGCUCUUGGCUUCGGAAUAACAGUUAGAAAUGACUGCUAAUACCGGAUGAUGUCGCAAGACCAAAGAUUUAUCGGCCAGGGAUGAGCCCGCGUAGGAUUAGGUAGUUGGUGGGGUAAAGGCCUACCAAGCCGACGAUCCUUAGCUGGUCUGAGAGGAUGAUCAGCCACACUGGGACUGAGACACGGCCCAGACUCCUACGGGAGGCAGCAGUGGGGAAUAUUGGACAAUGGGGGCAACCCUGAUCCAGCAAUGCCGCGUGAGUGAUGAAGGCCUUAGGGUUGUAAAGCUCUUUUACCCGGGAUGAUAAUGACAGUACCGGGAGAAUAAGCUCCGGCUAACUCCGUGCCAGCCGCCGCAGUAACAC